GACGAACGCUGGCGGCGUGCCUAAUACAUGCAAGUCGAGCGAUGAAGCUUGGUGCUUGCACCACUUUGAAGAGCAGCGAACGGGUGAGUAACGCGUGGGGAAUCUGCCUUUGAGCGGGGGACAACAUCUGGAAACGAAUGCUAAUACCGCAUAACAACUUUAAACAUAUGUUUUACUCUUGAAAGAUGCAAUUGCAUCACUCUAAGAUGAUCUCGCGUUGUAUUAGCUAGUUGGUGAGGUAACGGCUCACCAAAGCGAUGAUACAUAGCCGACCUGGAGAGGUGGAUCGCCAACAUUGGACCGAGGCACCGGCCCAAACCCCUACGGGAGCAGCAGUAGGGGAAUUUCCGGAAUGGGCGAAAGUCUGGCCGGAGAAAGCCGCGGGGGGGAAGAAGGGUUUCGGAUCGGAAAACUUUGUUGAUAAGGAAGAACGUUGGUGGGAGUGGAAAACUCAUCAAGUGACGGUAACUACCCAGAAAGCGACGGCUAACUACGUG
rnacentral:rRNA from 1 species